rnacentral:rRNA from 1 species
UACGAAGGGGGCUAGCGUUGCUCGGAAUCACUGGGCGUAAAGGGUGCGUAGGCGGGUCUUUAAGUCAGGGGUGAAAUCCUGGAGCUCAACUCCAGAACUGCCUUUGAUACUGAAGAUCUUGAGUUCGGGAGAGGUGAGUGGAACUGCGAGUGUAGAGGUGAAAUUCGUAGAUAUUCGGAAGAACACCAGUGGCGAAGGCGGCUCACUGGUCCGGUACUGACGCUCAGGCACGAAAGCGUGGGGAGCAAACAGG